AUCAUUGUGCAGCGGCAGUAUUGCAGCCUAUGAGGUUUAUCUGAGGAGCUAUUAUUGCUGGUUGAAAACAUAACAAUAAAGCGUAAAUCUAACCUUUUGCUUGUCCAAGUCUGUAGGUAGCCUGGGCUA